rnacentral:misc_RNA from 1 species
UAAUAAUUAUAUUUUAAUUUGUUUUUUGUCUACCAAAUUUAUUGUUAUAUAUAUAUAUAUAUAUUAUCUUUCGAACAGUUGAAACACAAGCACAAUGGCUUUAGUGACGGGAAUAGACUACUACCAAAAUUAUAGCAAUGUUGAUAGUUUUUAUAUAUAUAUUGGAUCGAAGAAUUUAUGUAUAUUAAACUGUAAAUAGGGCCAAUAAUGGCUAGCUAAUGAUUUUUAUUUUAUUUUUAUUUUUUGGCUUGUUAUGAGAAGGAUCUUGUGUGGAAUCACCACAUGCAAUUACUUGCAAUUGAGCUCACCCAAUUGAUUUAGAGAGAUUUUAGAUAGAUUCAGUCUAAUAUGUUAUUAGUAAACUAAGUCAAAUAAAUCACUUUAAAUAAUUUAUAUUUAUAUGUAAUUAUAUAAACAUAAAAAAUAAUUAAAAAUUAAAUUACAUAUUUAUUCAUAUUAUAUUAUCAUAAAAUGAUUUAAUUAAAAUACGUCGUGAUAGACUAAGUAUAAUUUAAAAAAAUCCCUCAUUUAACUGAAAGUUUUAUUAUAAGUUGUGUAUCAUCCAUUAUUAGUUGUUGUAUAUUUUGUUUACUGAGAUCUCAAUUCUUACCUUAUCGCUCAAAAUUUUCUUUCUUUCUUCUCGUAAGCCAAACACAACACUAAUUAUUUCAGAAAAUUUUAUUCUAGUUAAUUUGCAGCAUUAAAAUGGCUACUUAAUUAAUUUGUAUGUACAAGAUCUACACAUUAUUCUCUUUAUGUGUUAUAUAUCGGUUUUUCUCCAAUCAUUACCACAAAUUACUAAAUGAAGCUGCGGAAAAAUUGCAUGGCUUCUAAAUUAUACAUAUUAUUGAAGAUUGCUAAUUAAAGAAAUUAUCAAUAAUUAUAUUAUACUAAAUCUUUUUCUCCCUCUAUGUCUCUUCCGAAUUUAUUUAAUUCCUGAAAAAUUAAUAAUAUAUGUGGAAUUCUUGAUAAUAUACUUGAAGUGCAUAUACUAGCUACUUAGAAAAGAUUUAAUAAUCAUGAAUUCUUGAUUCUAAGUUAUGUGCAUGUGCUAUAAAAGCUUAGCAUCAAAACCAGAACCAGAAGGACAUGUGUUAUAGAAAGAAAGAUAGAAGGAAAGGAAACUAAAGACUAAAAAGUUAGAUCAGAAAAAGAAAGAAAGAAGGAAAGCAUGGAGUUUACUUAGCUGGGGGCUUUGCUGGAUCAGCAGCAAGAAGAUUCUCGAGUCUAUGUAAAUUGUUGGUGUUGUCGUUUGGAUCGAUCCCAGGGUCCUUGGAAGAAAGAUUAAGCUUCAAAUCCAUUGUCUCAGAGAAGCCUCUCUUUCUUGCCACCUCUGCUUCGCUCGCUCCACCAUUAUUUCCUGGUAACCCUAACCUCAGCUCAGUCUCCUCGAACCCCAUUUUUGUCUUGUCUACUGCUUCCAUGGCGUCUGUUUUUAUGGUUCUUGAAAUGGUUGAGAAAAUGGGAAAUGUAAAGUUUUGUUUGUGAGAAAUGAUAAUAAUAAUACCGAAUCAAAGGGAAGGUUUUGUUAAGAGUUUGUGU